rnacentral:rRNA from 1 species
UACGGGGGGGGGCAAGCGUUGUCCGGAAUCAUUGGGCGUAAAGAGCGUGUAGGCGGCUUGGCAAGUCUGACGUGAAAUCCCGCGGCUCAACCGCGGUAGGUCGUUGGAAACUGCCUCGCUAGAGUCCGGAAGAGGAGAACGGAAUUCCUGGUGUAGCGGUGAAAUGCGCAGAUAUCAGGAGGAACACCGGUGGCGAAGGCGGUUCUCUGGGCAUGUCCUGACGCUGAGGAGCGAAAGUGUGGGGAGCGAACAGG